rnacentral:rRNA from 1 species
GACGAACGCUGGCGGCGUGCUUAACACAUGCAAGUCGAGCGGUAAGGCCCUUUCGGGGGUACGACGAGCGGCGAACGGGUGAGUAACACGUGGGUGACCUGCCCUCAGCUCUGGGAUAAGCCUGGGAAACCGGGUCUAAUACCGGAUAUGACUCCAUGACGCAUGUUGGUGGGGUGGAAAGCCUUGUGCGGCUGAGGAUGGGCCCGCGGCCUAUCAGCUUGUUGGUGGGGUGANGGCCUACCAAGGCGACGACGGGUAGCCGGCCUGAGAGGGCGACCGGCCACACUGGGACUGAGACACGGCCCAGACUCCUACGGGAGGCAGCAGUGGGGAAUCUUGCGCAAUGGGCGAAAGCCUGACGCAGCGACGCCGCGUGAGGGA